AGAGGUUGCAGGUUUGAAGCCAUAGCAGAUGCGCUUAUGGUGCAGCCUGUCAGAUUCCAGUGAAAUCUGUGAAUUCUGCU
rnacentral:ribozyme from 1 species